AUUCCUACGGGAGGCAGCAGCUAAGAAUAUUCCGCAAUGGACGGAAGUCUGACGGAGCGACGCCGCGUGGAUGACGAAGGCCGAAAGGUUGUAAAGUUCUUUUGCUGGGGAAGAAUAACCGCAGGAGGGAAUGCCUGUGGGAUGACAAGAACCGGCGAAUAAGCCCCGGCCAACUACGUGCCAGCAGCCGCGGUAACACGUAGGGGGCGAGCGUUGUUCGGAAUUACUGGGCGUAAAGGGCAUGUAGGCGGCUUGGAAAGCCUGGCGUGAAAGUCUGCAGCUUAACUGCAGGGGUGCGCUGGGAACUGCUGAGCUUGAGUGACGGAGAGGGAGCUGGAAUUCCUGGUGUAGGGGUGAAAUCUGUAGAUAUCAGAAAGAACACCGAUGGCGAAGGCAAGCUCCUGGCCGAUGACUGACGCUGAGGUGCGAAAGUGUGGGGAUCAAACAGGAUUAGAUACCCUGGUAGUCCACACAGUCAACGAUGUGCACUAGGUGCUGGGGCGGUAGCUUCGGUGCCGGAGCGAACGCGGUAAGUGCACCGCCUGGGGAGUAUGCUCGCAAGGGUGAAACUCAAAGGAAUUGACGGAAU
rnacentral:rRNA from 1 species